CGAAAGCCUGACGGAGCAAGACCGCGUGGGGGAGGAAGGCUCUAGGGUUGUAAACCCCUUUUCUUUGGGAAGAAGCUCUGACGGUACCAGAUGAAUCAGCCUCGGCUAACUCCGUGCCAGCAGCCGCGGUAAUACGGAGGAGGCAAGCGUUAUCCGGAAUGAUCGGGCGUAAAGCGUCCGCAGGUGGCAAUGUAAGUCUGCUGUCAAAACCCAGGGCUCAACUCUGGUCAGGCAGUGGAAACUACAUAGCUAGAGUUCGGUAGGGGCGAAGGGAAUGCCCGGUGUAGCGGUGAAAUGCGUAGAGAUCGGGAAGAACAUCGGUGGCGAAAGCGCUUUGCUAGACCGAAACUGACACUCAGGGACGAAAGCUAGGGGAGCG
rnacentral:rRNA from 1 species